CCGCUAAUUGUUUUAGCGGUCUGGCGAAGGGGGUAUUAUUGUGAAUUGGUCUGAGUACCGCUAAUUGUUUUAGUGGUCUGGCGAAGGGGUAUUAUUGUGAAUUCGGUCUGAGUGGCGGCAGGGCAGCGGGGCACCUGGGAGGCGGAGUGGAUCUCCGGCGCAAAUUUCAAACGAGGUAAGCAGCAUUCGGGGAUGAGCCGGGGAACGAACAAGAAGGAAAAAGAGAAUGCUCUGGUUGCCAGCCGGUGCGGCUCGGAGCGAAGGGAGAACUUAGACUCUGAGCGGGAUUUGAGAAAAAAAGACUAAGGAUUUGGUUUCAGGAUUUGCCCUGUUAUCAAAUAUAAGGUUUUGGGUAUACGGGGGUUCCCUACAGGUUAUUUCUAGGGGUUUUUUGUUUUGCGUAUUUUUGGAGAGAAACCGCGGAGGGUUUUUUGUUUUGUUUUGUUUUUCAGGAGGUUUUUUUUUGUUGUUUGUUUUUUGCUGUAAGCCGCUGGGAGCCGCGGUGCGUUUAUGAUCGCGAGAGUUUUUUGCGACUCGGACUUUGAUUUUAAAUUUCUUUGUUCGGAUUAAACAAAUGCAUAUAAAUUGAAAUAAACUUUUCCCACAAGGCAUGCACCCUGUAUGUCUGGCCAUACUGAACGUUACAAAAGCACAAGUUUAACUAAGCACAUUUAUACUGGUUUAACACAUUUUCACCCAUAAACACGGAGCCCCCACAGAAGCACGGUCCCGAGGCGCCUAGACACACAGGCGCGCUCGUGCGCGCCCUGUGCACUCAUGCGCUGUCAUGCGCUGACCCACCACCAGAUGGCGUUUCUUUAGGGAAAAAAGGAAAAAGUUUUUAUUGGAUUAAAAAAA